CUUGAUGCCGACCUGAGAGCAGAGCUUGAUUGGUUGGCUUUUACCGAGCUGUAGGCUGAGGCCGAACUCUUUGGUAAUGCCGAACUCAUACUCUUCCUUGGGCUUGUUUAGUACGCACCCCAUCAGGAGUCAAUAGUCAUUAAUAACUUAUCAGUAUAUGUGAGAUGUAUUCAUUUUAGGACACUAGAGAAUUAAAUGUAAGUAAUAUUCUGUAUUGACAAUUGCUCCAAUUUAUCAGAAGGAUGUUAUAUCUGGUCGACUACAAUGAGACACUUUUAGUGCAUGGAAUAAAAAAAUCAAUUUGGAGUGAUAGAAAGUAUGAAAACAGCUACUGUGUUCUGUUCUGACAGCAUGUUAAGAGUCCCGUUUAACCAAGUAAACGACCUCAUUUUCUUACCAAAUUUCAACUGAACAUAGUUUUAUGUGUGUUCUGCCAUGGUACCAAAAUUCAGCUUCAUCCGAGUUCAAAUAGAUUUAUAUGUGAAAGUGAAAUAUAUAUUGAAGGGUAAUCCUACCCUAGGAAAAUAACAGGGACAAGGAGCAGGAAUACAGAGAUUCGUGUGUCAAGGGAGUUUUGAAUUUCGAGAUUAGCUCUUUCGAUGUACAGCUGCUCAAGUCGGGUCACUAGCCAACCUUUUUGUGUUCAGAAAAUUCUUUCGAAUAUACUAGAUGUGGCAUGUAUAGAAAGUGUAAUAUAGUUCGGACGUUUCAUUUACCUCGUUAUCCAGGUUGUAAAAAUAUAUAUAUAGACUUUUGGAAACAGGUUUAUGGUCUAAUUUCAGACGUUAUAUAGCAGUUUUUCCGUUUGCCAAGUAAA